UACGGGGGGGGGCAAGCGUUGUUCGGAAUUACUGGGCGUAAAGGGUUUGUAGGUGGCCAACUAAGUCAGACGUGAAAUCCCUCAGCUUAACUGGGGAACUGCGUCUGAGACUGGAUGGCUUGAGUGCAGGAGAGGAACGCGGAAUUCCAGGUGUAGCGGUGAAAUGCGUAGAUAUCUGGAGGAACACCGGUGGCGAAGGCGGCGUUCUGGGCUGCAACUGACACUGAAAAACGAAAGCCAGGGGAGCAAACGGG
rnacentral:rRNA from 1 species